rnacentral:rRNA from 1 species
AUGCGUGCAGGCAUAGAGGAGGUCUUUCCGUUGGCAGUGCACAGGCACUGCAGGUGGCACAUUAUAAAGAAGGCUGAGGAGAUGCUAGGACCGUUCUUUGCUGACCAUCCAGAUCUGCACAAGGCAUUCGAGAUGUGCGUGGACCACAGCUUGACGGUGGAGGAGUUCGAACGGAGCUGGAUGGCUAUGAUUGAAACAUAUCAAGUCCAAGACCAUGAGACGCUAGCUAGCCUGUGGGAGAAGCGAAUGUACUGGGUGCCGGCCUACUUCAUGCAGUGCUUCUUCCCAUUUCUGCAGAUUACACAGCGCAACGAGGGGUUCAAUGCUGUUUUGAAGCGGUACGUGAGCCCUGGCAACUCAUUGCUACAGUUUGCCAAGCAGUACACCGCUUUGCAACAGAAAAUACUGGGAUCUGAGCUACAGCAAGAAGCAAACACCGCGCUCAAGCAGCCUAAAUUGCUAACAUAUUUACCAAUGGAGAGGCAGAUGAGCAAGACAUAUACCAACAAGAUUUUUAACAAGUCAGUUGUGUUACAGUCUUAUUUGCACAAGCAUGAAGUCAGUAGGUGCCAUGUAGAAUGCAAUGCAGUUGAAAAGCUUAUUGAAAAUGAUGAUAUUUUGAAAGUAGCCAUUGAGUACAAAGUAACCAUGAUAUGUAGUUGCCAUGUGAAGUCAACUACAGUUGCCAUGUUUAAUGAACUGCAAUUUCCAUGUUUAAUGAACUACAGUUUCCAUGUUUAA